AUAAAAUCAACACUUGGACUUUUUACUGUUUGAUUUGUUGCAUUAAUCAGUAUGUGCUCUUAUUAUAGAUUUCUUCAUCAUCUUCAGAGGAGGGCUCUCCCGAAGUGGGCGGUGCUGCCGGGGCCAGCUCACCAGCAUCCAGGGGAGGUGGACCAAGCCCGGACCGGGGCUGUCAAGAACAAUCUGCACCUAGAGCCGCCAGCGAGGAUCCCCCAGUCGCCUCCAGAGUCCGCGGGAAUGAGCGUGGCGGUCGUAGACGUGGUUCCCUAGGCUCCACCAGGGAGGAUGAGGAGUUCGGGUUUCCGAGCAUCAAUAACCUGCUCCUCAUCCGACUGGUGGAGGCGCGUCCAGCGUUAUGGGACCACGCCGACCGCCACCACGCCGAUUAUCGCCAUACCCAGCGGCUCUGGAGGGACAUCUCUGCAGAACUUUUAGA